rnacentral:rRNA from 1 species
AUGAAUGCUGGCGGCGUGUCUAAGGCAUGCAAGUCGAGGGGUUCGUAGCAAUACGGACACCGGCAAACGGGUGCGUAACACAUUGGUACUUAUCCCAAAGUCAUGAAUAAGCCUGCGAAAGCGGGUCUAAUACAUGAUGGAAGCGAGGGGACUAAAGUCAUUCUCGCUUAAAGAUUUAUCGCUUUGGGAAAGGCCUAUGGCCUAUCAGCUAGUUGGUGAGGUAAAAGCUCACCAAGGCUACGACGGGUAGCGGGAUUGAGAGAUCGACCCGCCUCACUGGGACUGAGACACUGCCCAGACUCCUACGGGAGGCGGCAGUCAAGAAUAUUCCCCAAUGGCCGCAAGGCUGAGGGAGCGACGUCGCGUGCAUGAAGAAACCCUUCGGGGUGUAAAGUGCUUUUAACUGGGACGAAACAAUGACGGUACCAGUUGAAUAAGGGGCUGCUAAACUCGU